UUCGCAAUGCCCGAAAGGGUGACGAAGCGACGCCGCGUGGGUGAGGAAGGCCUUCGGGUUGUAAAGCCCUGUCAGGAGUUAAGAAAUAUAAGUGCGCUAAUAUCGCAUUUAUUUGACGAAGGCUCCAAAGGAAGCCACGGCUAACUCUGUGCCAGCAGCCGCGGUAAUACAGAGGUGGCAAGCGUUGUUCGGAAUUAUUGGGCGUAAAGAGCACGUAGGUGGAUUUGUAAGUCAGAUGUGAAAGCCUUCUGUUCAACGGAAGAAUUGCAUCUGAAACUACAAACCUUGAGUAUAGGAGGGGAGAAUGGAACUUCUGGUGGAGCGGUGAAAUGCGUAGAUAUCAGAAGGAACGCCGGCGGCGAAAGCGACUCUCUGGCCUAUUACUGACACUGAGUGUGCGAAAGCUAGGGGAGCAAACGGGAUUAGAUACCCCGGUAGUCCUAGCCGUAAACGAUGGGCACUAAGUAGAGGGGUUUU
rnacentral:rRNA from 1 species